rnacentral:rRNA from 1 species
AAAUUGAAGAGUUUGAUCAUGGCUCAGAUUGAACGCUGGCGGCAGGCCUAACACAUGCAAGUCGAGCGGUAGCACGGGGGAGCUUGCUCCCUGGGUGACGAGCGGCGGACGGGUGAGUAAUGUCUGGGAAACUGCCUGAUGGAGGGGGAUAACUACUGGAAACGGUAGCUAAUACCGCAUAACGUCGCAAGACCAAAGAGGGGGACCUUCGGGCCUCUUGCCAUCAGAUGUGCCCAGAUGGGAUUAGCUAGUAGGUGGGGUAACGGCUCACCUAGGCGACGAUCCCUAGCUGGUCUGAGAGGAUGACCAGCCACACUGGAACUGAGACACGGUCCAGACUCCUACGGGAGGCAGCAGUGGGGAAUAUUGCACAAUGGGCGCAAGCCUGAUGCAGCCAUGCCGCGUGUAUGAAGAAGGCCUUCGGGUUGUAAAGUACUUUCAGCGAGGAGGAAGGCGGUGAGGUUAAUAACCUCAUCGAUUGACGUUACUCGCAGAAGAAGCACCGGCUAACUCCGUGCCAGCAGCCGCGGUAAUACGGAGGGUGCAAGCGUUAAUCGGAAUUACUGGGCGUAAAGCGCACGCAGGCGGUCUGUCAAGUCGGAUGUGAAAUCCCCGGGCUCAACCUGGGAACUGCAUUCGAAACUGGCAGGCUAGAGUCUUGUAGAGGGGGGUAGAAUUCCAGGUGUAGCGGUGAAAUGCGUAGAGAUCUGGAGGAAUACCGGUGGCGAAGGCGGCCCCCUGGACAAAGACUGACGCUCAGGUGCGAAAGCGUGGGGAGCAAACAGGAUUAGAUACCCUGGUAGUCCACGCCGUAAACGAUGUCGACUUGGAGGUUGUUCCCUUGAGGAGUGGCUUCCGGAGCUAACGCGUUAAGUCGACCGCCUGGGGAGUACGGCCGCAAGGUUAAAACUCAAAUGAAUUGACGGGGGCCCGCACAAGCGGUGGAGCAUGUGGUUUAAUUCGAUGCAACGCGAAGAACCUUACCUACUCUUGACAUCCAGAGAACUUAGCAGAGAUGCUUUGGUGCCUUCGGGAACUCUGAGACAGGUGCUGCAUGGCUGUCGUCAGCUCGUGUUGUGAAAUGUUGGGUUAAGUCCCGCAACGAGCGCAACCCUUAUCCUUUGUUGCCAGCGGUUAGGCCGGGAACUCAAAGGAGACUGCCAGUGAUAAACUGGAGGAAGGUGGGGAUGACGUCAAGUCAUCAUGGCCCUUACGAGUAGGGCUACACACGUGCUACAAUGGCGCAUACAAAGAGAAGCGACCUCGCGAGAGCAAGCGGACCUCAUAAAGUGCGUCGUAGUCCGGAUUGGAGUCUGCAACUCGACUCCAUGAAGUCGGAAUCGCUAGUAAUCGUAGAUCAGAAUGCUACGGUGAAUACGUUCCCGGGCCUUGUACACACCGCCCGUCACACCAUGGGAGUGGGUUGCAAAAGAAGUAGGUAGCUUAACCUUCGGGAGGGCGCUUACCACUUUGUGAUUCAUGACUGGGGUGAAGUCGUAACAAGGUAACCGUAGGGGAACCUGCGGUUGGAUCACCUCCUUACCUUAAAGAA